AUUGAACGCUGGCGGCAGGCCUAACACAUGCAAGUCGAGCGAGCGGCGGACGGGUGAGGAAUGUAUGGGGACUGCCCGAUAGAGGGGGAUAACUACUGGAAACGGUAGCUAAUACCGCAUACUAUCGGAUAACCCAUAUGGGAUGGGCUAGUAGGUGAGGUAAUGGCUCACCUAGUCGACGACCCCUAGCUGGUCUGAGAGUUUGAUCAGCCACACGGGGACUGAGACACGGCCCAGACUCCUACGGAGGCCGCAGUGGGGAAUAUUGCACAAUGGGCGCAAGCCUGAUGCAGCCAUGCCGCGUGUAUGAAGAAGGCCCUAGGGUUGUAAAGUACUUUCAGUCGGGAGGCGUUACCGACAGAAGAAGCACCGGCUAACUCCGUGCCAGCAGCCGCGGUAAUAC
rnacentral:rRNA from 1 species